rnacentral:rRNA from 1 species
CUACGGAGGGUGCGAGCGUUGUUCGGAAUUAUUGGGCGUAAAGAGCAUGUAGGCGGUCUGUUAAGUCUGGUGUGAAAGCCCGGGGCUCAACCCCGGAAGUGCAUUGGAUACUGGCAGACUUGAGUAUGGGAGAGGAAAGCGGAAUUCCGAGUGUAGGAGUGAAAUCCGUAGAUAUUCGGAGGAACACCAGUGGCGAAGGCGGCUUUCUGGACCAAUACUGACGCUGAGAUGCGAAAGCGUGGGGAGCGAACAGGAUUAGAAACCCCGGUAGUCC